GAUUAUGGAUGCAGCGGUAACUCCUCUGCAUUUGUAGUCAUCCACAUGAGAACCUUUCUCGGCCUUCACUGGUCGGUUGGGGGAUCAUGUACUUUACUUUGAAAAAAUCAGAGUGUUUCAGGCAGGCGUUUGCAUGAAUACACAAGCAUGGAAUAAUGGAAUAGGACUAGGGUCCAUUUUAUUGGUUAUUGGACCAUAGUA
rnacentral:rRNA from 1 species